rnacentral:rRNA from 1 species
GGCGUAAAGCGAGCGCAGGCGGAAAAAUAAGUCUAAUGUGAAAGCCCUCGGCUUAACCGAGGAACUGCAUCGGAAACUGUUUUUCUUGAGUGCAGAAGAGGAGAGUGGAACUCCAUGUGUAGCGGUGGAAUGCGUAGAUAUAUGGAAGAACACCAGUGGCGAAGGCGGCUGUCUGGUCUGCAACUGACGCUGAGGCUCGAAAGCAUGGGUAGCGAACAGGAUUAGAUACCCUGGUAGUCCAUGCCGUAAACGAUGAGUGCUAGGUGUUGGAGGGUUUCCGCCCUUCAGUGCCGGAGCUAACGCAUUAAGCACUCCGCCUGGGGAGUACGACCGCAAGGUUGAAACUCAAAGGAAUUGACGGGGGCCCGCACAAGCGGUGGAGCAUGUGGUUUAAUUCGAAGCUACGCGAAGAACCUUACCAGGUCUUGACAUCUUGCGCUAACCUUAGAGAUAAGGCGUUCCCUUCGGGGACGCAAUGACAGGUGGUGCAUGGUCGUCGUCAGCUCGUGUCGUGAGAUGUUGGGUUAAGUCCCGCAACGAGCGCAACCCUUGUUACUAGUUGCCAGCAUUAAGUUGGGCACUCUAGCGAGACUGCCGGUGAUAAACCGGAGGAAGGUGGGGAUGACGUCAAAUCAUCAUGCCCCUUAUGAGCUGGGCUACACACGUGCUACAAUGGACGGUACAACGGGUAGCGAGGGCGCGAGCCUUAGCAAAUCCUAAUAAGCCGUUCUCAGUUCGGAUUGUUCUCUGCAACUCGAGAGCAUGAAGCCGGAAUCGCUAGU